AGCGAACGCUGGCGGCAGGCUUAACACAUGCAAGUCGAGCGCCCCGCAAGGGGAGCGGCAGACGGGUGAGUAACGCGUGGGAAUCUACCGUGCCCUACGGAAUAGCUCCGGGAAACUGGAAUUAAUACCGUAUACGCCCUACGGGGGAAAGAUUUAUCGGGGUAUGAUGAGCCCGCGUUGGAUUAGCUAGUUGGUGGGGUAAAGGCCUACCAAGGCGACGAUCCAUAGCUGGUCUGAGAGGAUGAUCAGCCACAUUGGGACUGAGACACGGCCCAAACUCCUACGGGAGGCAGCAGUGGGGAAUAUUGGACAAUGGGCGCAAGCCUGAUCCAGCCAUGCCGCGUGAGUGAUGAAGGUCUUAGGAUUGUAAAGCUCUUUCACCGAUGAAGAUAAUGACGGUAGUCGGAGAAGAAGCCCCGGCUAACUUCGUGCCAGCCGCCGCAGUAAGAC
rnacentral:rRNA from 1 species